UGGGGAAUUUUGCACAAUGGGAGAAACCCUGAUGCAGCGACGCCGCGUGAUUUAGAAGGCCUUCGGGUUGUAAAAAUCUUUUCUAUGGGAAGAAAAUGACAGUACCAUAGUAAUAAGGACCGGCUAAUUACGUGCCAGCAGCCGCGGUAAUACGUAAGGUCCGAGCGUUGUCCGGAAUCAUUCGGCGUAAAGGGUACGUAUGCGGGUAAGCAAGUUAGAAGUGAAAUCAUAUAGCUCAACUAUAGUAAGCUUUUCAACUUGAGCAUCUUGAGGUAUGGAAGGGAAAGUGGAAUUCAUAGUGUAGCGGUGAAAUGAGAUGAUAUUAGGAGGAAUGCCGGUGGCGAAGGCGACUCUCUGGCCAGAACCUGACGCUGAGGUACGAAAGCGUAGGUAGCAAACAGG
rnacentral:rRNA from 1 species